rnacentral:rRNA from 1 species
GACGAACGCUGGCGGCGGGCUUAACACAUGCAAGUCGAACGGAAGGGCCCUUCUUGCGUGGGUGUUGCGGGGGCCAAACGGGUGAGUACGGGGUAGGUACCCUACCUUUCCUUUUGGGGGGGCUUGAGGAAGGGGGGCCUAAUCCCGAACAGGAACUCUUCUUGCGUGGCGGGGGUUGGAAAUUUUGGGCGGUGGGGAUUGGACUGGCGGGUUAUGGAUUUGUUGGUUGGGUAGUGGCUUGCCAAGGCGUGGAUGGGUACCCGGCCUGAGAGGGUGACCGGCCACCUGGCGCCUGAGAUACGGCCCAGAGUCGUACGGGAGGCAGCAGUGGGGAAUAUUGCACAACGGGCCGAAGCCUGAUGCAGCAACGCCGCGUGCGGGAUGACGGCCUUCGGGUUGUAAACAGCUUUCGCCUGUGACGAAGCGCGAGUGACGGUAAUGUGUAAAAAAGCACCGGCUAACUACGUG